rnacentral:rRNA from 1 species
UACAGAGGUCCCAAGCGUUGUUCGGCUUUACUGGGCGUAAAGGGUGCGUAGGUGGCGGGGUAAGUCUGGUGUGAAAGCUUCGAGCUCAACUCGGAAAAGCAUUGGAAACUAUCCUGCUAGAGGGUCGGAGGGGAGACUGGAAUUCUCGGUGUAGCAGUGAAAUGCGUAGAUAUCGAGAGGAACACCAGUGGCGAAGGCGACUUCCUGGCCUGUUCUUGACGCUGAGGCGCGAAAGCUAGGGGAGCAAACGGG